AGCGAAAUAGCUUGGUUGGGAGAGCAUUAGACUGAAGAUCUAAAGGUAACUGGUAGAUCCAGGGUUUUGGCA